rnacentral:rRNA from 1 species
GAUGAACGCUGGCGGCGUGCCUAAUACAUGCAAGUCGAGCGAACAGACGAGGAGCUUUCUCCUCUGACGUUAGCGUCUGACGGGGUAGUGACACGUUGAGAACCUACCUAUAAGACUGGGAUAACUUCGGGAAACCGGAUCUAAUACCGGAGAAUAUAUUGAACCGCAUGGUUCAAUAGUAAAAUACGGUUUUGCUGUCACUUAUAGAUGGAUCAGCGCCGCAUUAGCUAGUUGGUAAGGUAACGGCUUACCAAGGCCACGAUGCGUAGCCGACCUGAGAGGGUGAUCGGUAACACUGCAACUGAGAUAAGGUCCAGAAUCCUAAGGGAGGCACGAGUCGGGCACCUACCGGAAUGGGCGAAAGCGUGACGGAGACAAGGCGCGUGAGUGAUGAAGGUCUUCGGAUCGUAAAACUAUGUUAUUAGGGAAGAACAAAUGUGUAAGUAAAUAUGCACGUAUUGACGGUACCUAAGCAGAAAGCCACGGCUAACUACGUG